rnacentral:rRNA from 1 species
CCUACGGGGAGCAGCAGUGGGGAAUAUUGGGCAAUGGAGGCAACUCUGACCCAGCAACGCCGCGUGAAUGAUGAAGGUCUUCGGAUGGUAAAGUUCUGUGAUGGGGGAGGAACACAAUGACGGUACCCCAAUAGCAAGCCACGGCUAACUACGGGCCAGCAGCCGCGGGAAUACUUAGGUGGCAAGCGUUAUCCGGAAUGACUGGGCGUAAAGGGUGCGUAGGUGGUUUAGUAAGUUGGCGGGGUAAUUCCGGGGCUCAACCUCGGCGCUACCGCCCAAACUAUUAGACUAGCGUGCAGGAGGGGUCAGUGGUAUUCCUCGUGUAGCGGUGGAAUGCUUAGCUCUU